UACGUAGGGUGCGAGCGUUGUCCGGAAUUAUUGGGCGUAAAGAGCUUGUAGGCGGUUUGUCGCGUCUGCUGUGAAAAUCCGGGGCUCAACCCCGGACUUGCAGCGGGUACGGGCAGACUAGAGUGUGGUAGGGGAGACUGGAAUUCCUGGUGUAGCGGUGGAAUGCGCAGAUAUCAGGAGGAACACCGAUGGCGAAGGCAGGUCUCUGGGCCACUACUGACGCUGAGAAGCGAAAGCAUGGGGAGCGAACAGG
rnacentral:rRNA from 1 species